AAUUAUUUGAAAUACAGCACAAUGUAUUGGAUGAGAAACAUGGGAAAAGAUUUUGUGGCAUUUUGUAGUUUUAAGAAAUUGCAAUCUAUGUAUCACUUAAAGUAUAUCGCACAGGGAAUCUGCAGAGGUGUUGAACCUCUUGUUGCUGCAGCUUCUGGGUGAUUUUCUCAAAUACUGGCAUAGUCAUCUUCCUGGCUUCUCAGAGUUGAUAAGUACUGGUUGCAUUUCUAUGCGUGUGUUACACAUUCAAAUAGCAGUAAGGCUGUAGAUGUGACUCAGGUCAUGAGUAAAAGCAACAGUGGGAUUUUUAAUUAAGUCUGCUUAUUUUCUUUAAGGCUGACAAUACAUCUGAGAAUUUGACAUUUAUUUAUGUGUGCAUUCCAGAUUUGCACACUGCAUAUCAAAACCUGAGACAAGCCCAGUGAGGGAUGGGGUGGGGUGCUGAGAUAGCGUAUCUGCCUUGCUCUGCUGCCCGCAAGUGAAAUUCUUUCCAUCUGAGUCCUAGCAAGGUGGUUCUGGGUGAAGCAGAGCCCUUGACAGAAGGCUGUCUCUUGCCCUGAGUCAGCCACAAAGUUCACUUUGUUUUCAUCCACCUCUGCCUCUCCUCUGGCAUCCCAGCUCCUCCAAGAUGGUGACUCCCAUCUCCAGUUCUCAGGGUGGGGAACCCGUCAUCUCUCCUGCUUGCUGUGCUCUCUUGUACUUGCUCUGUAGGAACAGGCCCCUGGGGCUAAACAGGACUUCCCUUUUUCCAAGUCAUUGUUUUCUCAGUUCAGGCCCACUCCAUGACCUAACACAGCACGUUUACUUCCCAAACAUAGGAGUGCGAUGCAGGGAGCAGAAGGGGAGGCAGUCCCUGCUCCCAGCGCAGGCAGCCCGAUGCUUGCAGCCCCAUGGGGGGCUCAUGAUACCCAGGCAGUGGGCAUUAUAUCAUGUUGUAUCUCAGGCAAAGUUUCUAGCCAGGGAGCUGCUGAUCCUUAAGCAGAAAGUCAUUCCUGAUGACUCUCUUCUCCCCAGGGCGGCGCUGACUCUGCAAGCUAAAACAGGAGCAGCAAGCAGUAAUUGCAUCCACUUGGUUACUGGAGUGAGAGGCUUGGAGUCUGAAUUCAGUGGUGAUCUGGGAAGCCCGAGUGUUCCAUGCACAGGCCGAUCCCACGACCCCUGAGGAUGUCGGCACCGAUGGGAACGCAUCGCAGCCCUCCCCAGCAGCAGUCCCCACAGGGGCGCUCCCUGUGCACCUCAGAGGAGCCAAUGCUGUAAAUCCCAUCCUGGUGGUCUGUUGUCACACCUUGCCCCUGGGAUGAGGGGAUGCUGGAGCCCUGAUCCUGACACAGCGGUAACUGCACUGCAGGACAUGCUGAGCCCCGGAAAUUUGGGCUGGAAGGGCUCUUUGGGACUCUGCUCAGAGGCACUUGCAAGAUAACAAACACUAAAAUAAAAUGAAGUGAAAUAUUGGAGAGCCUGCUUUUAUACCUCUUUUAAAACUGAACACAAAAGCCAAGUGAGAUCAUCGGGUUUAUUAGGCAGGAUAUUUCCAGUAAAGAUGGGGAAGCACUUCUGCCACCAUACAAGGAACUGCUCAGCCUCCAUCUGGAAAGUCACAGCCAAUUCCCAUCAGCUGUCUUUGGGAAGGAGGAAUCCAAAGCAGAACUCAGAAGAUGACUGGGACAGUGAGUGACACAGAAGUGACCAUGUGGGAUGUUCGGUGUGGCAGAGCUGAAGAGAGGGCACUGGUUUCUGUAGAUACAGCAGAAGGAAGAACAUUACAUAAAUGACAAUAAAUCUUUGGAUGACAGAGUGACUGUAAACUUCCACUCACGCUGGAAAUGAGGGUUCUGAGUCUUGGAGCAACCAGCUUCUGCAAGACGUUGCAUCAGGAGAGCAGGGCCGGGUUCCAUUGCAUAACCCACACACAAAUGAGCUGGCAUGUGAUGCUGUGAAAGAGGAGUCUGGCUGCAGUGAUCAUCUCCAGUCCCAUGUGCUCCUAGAAUACCGAUGAUUUCUUCCACUAGCCGUGGUAUUCCACAGGCUGCUGUCUAGCUGUGAUCUUCCAGAGAGCCAAAGGAGAAGCUGUGGCCCUAUGCCCUACAGUGGAGCUCUCCAAGACAUUGUGCCAGAGACUGCAGCUUACUCAGUGUGCUCCGGAAUGGGAUCUAGGAGCUGCAACAGCGUUUGCUUAAUGGCCAGCAGUGACAGGUUUAUAAAUCAACAUGGCACCUAUUACCUCCAAUGGAAAUGGUAAUCUGUUUUUUCUCCUAGCGGCUUCUGUUGCAAUAAUCAUGUGCUUGCAGCCUCCUCCAGGGUACAGUGCAAUGCAUCUCCCUUGCAGGAGUCACAUCCCUGCUGGGAGCCCCCCCAGCUCAGCAGGGCACUGAGCACCCCCCUGACUGCUGGGAGCCGCAGGUGCUCAGCACCUGAGCUCAGCCCUCUGGCAGGAUAUGUGCAGGUUCACUCUGCUUAUCACCAACAGCUGCAGGGCAGCCUGGAAAUGGAGUUGCAGGAAGGGAAGGGAUCCAUACGGCUGCUUUCUUUCUGCUUUUUUCCCCACUCUGAGGUAUGGAGGGCUGCUGAGCGUGGUGGAGCCCUGCAUUCAGAGCACCCUGUGCAGUCGGCAGCAAGUGGCCGGCACAGCAGCACCCUGGUGUCAGGUGUCUGUCUUAGCCUCUUCCCAGCAAGGUCUCCAUCUAAAUCAACAGAAGCUCUCUGGACUCCGAACCAUGGCAUAUGUGUAUUUUUAGAAGCCAAUCAAUCAGUGGUGACUGUUCAAGUUCAGGCAAGUCAAACACAGCCUGCAAAGUUACACAGAAGCACUGUGUGUUGUAGAAGGGUUGGUGAGCCUGCUUAUUAUUUGGCGUGCUGUGCCAAAUCCAUGAGCUGCUGAGGCUGGGUUCUUUUCAGAGAUAUCCAUAAGAAGUGCAAGUAUAAACAGACUGUGGAUUGUAAAACACGCUCUUUUUAAUUGAAGCAAUAAAGGACUGUUUGUGCUUCCAUAGAAGCCCUCUUUCAAGGUGCUGUGUGUUUUCCAAACUUUAACACAGCCCUGGGUUCAGGGUUUGUCAUGUGGGCCUUUCUGUAGGUGAGGAAACUGAGGCACAGAAGACUGCAGAUGCUGCCAAGGAGCUACAGAGACUGUGAAGUCCCAGCUUGUCUUCAGGGAAGUGCUGUGCUGGGCAAAGAAAACAAACACCUGUGCGCUGGCUUCCCUUCACAGUCUGAUCAGCGGAAACAGCAGCAGAGGGGUCAGGUCAGCCUCAGGGCUCUGGGCAGCAGCAGCAGGUUGGCUUUUCGGUGGCUUGGCUGCAAGGCAGGAACAUCUUGAGGCCUUUCUGGGUGUUUCUUCAAAGAGCGUUGCUGGGGUUUGGAAGCGCUGAUCAUGGAGCAGGUGUACAAAUGCAGCGUGUCGGAACAAAAAAUCACUGUAAUGAAUUGUAUCCCUUCAUGAAAAAUGCAGAGGCUCAGUAGUUGUGGGGAAGCAGGCGCAGCCUGGAGUCGAGCUGGACCUCUAACAUCAGACACCAACCAGUCAGAGAGCAGCUUAGAAAAUGCCGGUGUUCUGAUUUCCAGAGCCUCAGUUUAUCCAACUUGAAAAUGGAACUGAUGCUUUCCUAUGUCACUGACCACUCAGUCAAGAAACGUGGCUUUGGCCUCUUCUGCUUCUCUGCUUCUUCAUGCCCUGCCUGAUUGCUACAAGACAUCUGCUCCAGAGCUUCUCGUUGGAGUCUGCACAGCUGCACAAAAUGUAGUGCAUGAUCUGAUUCUCAAAUUGGGCUUAACUCAUAUGUGCAGUGCCAGCUGGAGGGGCCUGCCGAGUUUUUGCUGAUGCAUCAGAAAUAUAUUUUUAGGAAGGUUUCUCUAUAAUUAUCACAUUAUAGCUCCUUCUGGAUCACUCAGAGUAUAGUAAACAAUUGCUAUACUUGUUAGAGGUCAUGAAUACAGAAAAACAUUCCUCUGUGUGAGGUCUGCUGUUAAAUAAUAACUUGUCGUUUCAUGGCGUGGGGGGAGUGAAUGCCCUCGAAGGGACGUGCUGACAUUGUUCAAGCCAGUGAUCCAGUUCCUGUAAUUUACACCACUUUCUUAAAGCUGCUUCUCUGCACAAGAACAAUGGAUGUGCUGAGGGACAGCUGUUGCCCCGCUGCAGCUCCCAGCGCCUCGUGUGUUGAUCCUCUCUCCGGUUUCCCUGCUACGCUGCUGCAGCAACACGUGGAUGGCUCACUGCUGGAGGCCUUGGAGGUGAUGGGCAGCUGGGUGAGGAAGGUGGUUAGCGGACAGCUGUGCAGGGUGCAGCCCCAAGCAGAUGGGGAAGGGGAGUGGCAUUAGAAAGCGAUCACGCAAAGAGAUUAUUAAUGAGUAAUUUCAUGAUCAGCGAGUUGAAUGAACAGCGCUCACCUCUGUGGCAUCUCUGCUGUCUGGUGUAGAGGGAGCAUCCGCUGCUGUCUUUUCCUCAGGGGAUGCUAAUGGUGUCCAUGUCCUCCAUCUGUCAUCAGCAGCGUCUGUCUGGGACCUUCAGGGCUCUGAGAAAUCCUCCUCUCUGUCUCCUUGAAAUAGCCUGACACGAUCAAGAACUACUUGCACGCAUUCGGCUCACACAGUGCUCCAUGUACAGCUUUAUUCCCUUGGGAAAUCCAGGCUUUACAAUAAUCACCUUGCUGUUCAACCAGGUGUAACAUGCAGUUGUGAUUUUCAUAGUAUAGUAGAAAAGCGAGGAUCUGGCUGUGGCUGCAAUCAGUUAACAAAACAGAUAAGUUAGGGAUCCCAGAGCCCCUGGAGACCUAUCUCAAGGCCAAAGAAGAAACUGAGAAGUCUGAUGGAGCUGCAGAAGUGGGGUAGAGCAGUUAUCUCUGGCCAAACAGGUGACGGAUGUGUCCGUUAUGACUUCUCAGUCCCUCCCUGUGGCAUGGGAAUCUGCCCUUUAAUAUGUGGUCAAAAGAAAAUUAGGUCUUGGCAAAAACAUAGCAAAUUUAAGAGCUCAGUCUGGAAGGAGCUCAGCAGGGAGGCGUAGGAGCUGACUGCAGCAUUUCAAAGUCUUUCUAGAAGCUGUGGUUUGGAGAGGAAAAGGAGAUGAAAUCUUCCGUGUUGCAGCAUGCAAGAACUCACCAGCUCUACCUCUCCAAACGUCGCUGUGACAUGGCUCCACCAUAUUCAUACUCAUGACUGAGGGGAUGGCAGACUCCAUACUCAGCCCCUUGCUUUUCUUGGUUUGUGUUGCAUGCUCCAUGUUGUUUUAAUGUAGUUCCUAGUAUUUAAUGCAUUUUGAUUGCUUUCUCUAAUAACAUCGACUGAGUGCUAGGAGCCAAUCUAAACAAGCUGUGCCAAUAAGCCAAACAUUUCACUUCAACCAGCAAAGCGGAUGCCUCUUACCCCUACUCACGCCUGGCUGUGCAAACCAAGGACCUCGCUGCUCAUCAGGGAGAGCAAAGCAAAAGCCUGGUGUGUUGUGGGCAGAGCUGGGCUGUGUCCCUGUGUCCUUGUGUCCCUGCCACGCGUGUGCCAUCGAGGUGCAGGUCAGGCAAUGUGCAAAGCUGGCUCUUCUCGAGGGAUGAAUGCGGCAUCUUGUCUCAUGCACUUUGACAAGCUGGGUCUUGGUUUUGUGAGACCGUGAGCACCUCUAAAUCCCUUUGACAUCAGUGGAAGCCGGACUUCACGUUCUGCAUCACUGGAAGCCUUUCCAAGCAAUUAAAAAACAACCCCAGACCUCCUCCCCUGGUGCUGAUCUGUGGUGUGGUGUUGACGUAAGUGUACUGGAGUUUUACUUACAGCAGCUGGGUAGUUGGCACUUUUAUAGGACUUUUUAAAAAAUUCUUUCUGUCUUUUGCACAAUAUUCCUGAUUUUUUUUUUUACUCUGUUUGUUUUUCUCCCACAAGCCCAGCCUUCAUGUCUGUCGUCUCAGCACUGCUUCCUGUUGUUCUCUGUGAUCUCCCUUGUUCCAUCUUCUCUUCUCUGGUUUCCUCCCUUUCAUUUUAGCCUUAUUUUCCUCAGGCUGCCUGAGCCCAUCCUCCCAGAGGGGAAAUGUAUCUGUCUCAUUCCCGUCUCUGUUUCCCUCCCAGCCCCACAGCUGUUCCCUCUCCAGCAGACCCCACUCCUGCUCAGAGCACCAUCUAUGUCCAACCCCUUUCCUCCAUCACUGCAGGUCAACAACAGAGAAAACAGAAAAUGCACCAGGAGAGGGGGGAUUACAGCCCAGAAGGAUCGUUCCUGCGAGAUGCCAAGUGCUGUCUCACCAGUGCUCACCUGGACUGCUUGCAUCUGGCUGGAUGGUGGAACCCCCAUCCCCAGCACUGACCAUUUGUGAUUUUUCAUGCCACGCAAUCCAUCACUGCUCCUGGGAGAUUUUUGCCUUUCAUGCUGCCCAAGCCUGAAAGCCGUAAACUCUGCAGUGAGGAUGUGGUGAGGUGUGAAUGUACACUUCAUUUCCAAGCGGUUCUAUUCCCCUCAUGUGCUGCACUUGACCAGCAAAGCAGUGGGCACCAUUCUCUGUGCUUUGGCCCAUGUAAUUACGUGUUUUCUAGCUGUGCUCGGUCAAAAGUAAUCAUGGAGUUACAACCUCAGCUGGGACAGAAACCAGUCAAUUUAACAAGCUGAGUUGUGUGCGAUUACAGAAGAUACAUCCUGCCACGGAUUUGUUCUGCCACCCUUUUGCUCUCCUAAGUAGAACACACUGUGGGGACGGAUGGAGCCGGAGAGUGGUUGGAGGUGGCACAGUCUGCCCAUCCUGCUGGGGUGAGAUACCUGUACAGCUUAUGGGUGUGAAGGGACUUUUCCCUCCAGAGAAGUGGGAUGCAUUUAGUUGCAGUCUGCAUAUCUGCCUCAGGCACCUCGUGAGCCCUGCCUUGGGUGUGUUUUUACAGAAUUGGGGAAUUAUCAGAUCUGGAAGGAGAAUGUGCAUGGGCUGAUCUGCAAGCACUGCUGUCCACUUGUACCCAGCUGCAGUCGCAUCCCUCGCUCUGUCCCUUCGCCUCUCCUGUAUUCCCCGACUCAGGCUUUGCCUUGUUCAGCAACAAAGAAAAUGCCUUCAGAAACAUCGUUGCCCUGAUGCAGCAGGAGGCUGUGACAGAUACAGUCACUGCUGCGGAAUGAGCACACAGCAAUGCUGCGCUGUCUGUGCCAUUAUUGUUCUCUGCUGCAAACUGGAAGCGACUGAGAGCAGGGCAAGGCAGCGGCCCUUCUGUAACAGCCCCCCUGGGAUGUGUACACAUCUCCAGUGGUGCAGGAUGUGCACAAUGGGCAUGGCUGGCAGCUUCUGCUGUGAGGAUGAUGACAGAAUCCCUCCUCUGGAUUUCACCUCCGUAUCUCAUACCCUCUCAGAGAUUGCUCAGCAGUGAUUGACAUUCAAACUGCCUGCUCUUAAAAAACCAAGUAAGGGAAUGAGAAGGGAAUAUGUAAACUUCCAGGGUAAACUGUGUUGAAAAAUUAAAGGGUGAUACGGUGGUCGGCUCCAGGCUGGUCCUGACUCUCAUGGGAAUAGUUAUGACCUCUCCAAAGGUUCUUCUCAUCAGGUUUUGUUAUGGGGAAGUCACUGUGCAUCCCCUCUGUGAGCAGUGAGAGCUGUGGGACUGCCCGCUCAGUGCUGCACUGACAGCUCUGCAACUGCCAGCAGCAAUAGGUAUGUAUGGAGUGAGGGGAAAAAAUCCAAAGCACAGCAUGAGUUUGCAUUACCUCUUGGUUAUGUGGGUUACUGAAUUCAAGAGCAAGUUUUAGUUACACAGCACAAACAGCCCACUUGUGAAUAUGUCACAGUGAUGCUCUGGCACGCUCAGCAGCCCAUAAAAAUGCCCACUCUGCUUAUACUGUUGAAUUGUUUCAGCCUUUGAUAAACCUUCUGUUUCAGCCUGUUGUAGAUUUUAAAGCAUUUCUUGCUAAUGGGUUUUCACAAUGUGGUUUAAGGGCUGUUGUUAUUAAUAAAUGUAACUGCACUGAAUAGUAAUUUGAUAAAGAUGAAAGAGGCAUUGAUGAAUUCCACUUCCCUUUCAGCUGCUGCUAGGAAUUUUUUCCUCCUUCAGAAUAUGUUGCAUUUAAUCUUGAUUUCCUUUUUGUUAAAACUGCUACUUUCUCACGUUAUAAAGAGAAUAUCAGUGGAGUCGGACCAGUUGUGCCAUCUUCUGUGUGGUAAAGAUCCAGUUCUGCUCAGUGAAUGGCAGAAAUUUCCUUGCUGAACAGCAGGGCUGGCUGGGUGUCCCAUCAGAAAUGCCUACAAAUAGCGUGUAAGUUUAAAGUUGUUUUCUUAAAAUAUGAUUAAUGGGUCUUAACGUUGAUGGAAGCAUUAAAAGAAAAUAAUUUAUCCACACUUUUUGCU
ensembl:lncRNA